UACGUAGGGCGCAAGCGUUGUCCGGAAUUAUUGGGCGUAAAGAGCUCGUAGGCGGCUUGUCACGUCGACUGUGAAAACCCGGGGCUCAACUCCGGGCCUGCAGUCGAUACGGGCUGGCUUGAGUGCGGUAGGGGAGACUGGAAUUCCCGGUGUAGUGGUGAAAUGCGUAGAUAUCGGGAGGAACACCAGUGGCGAAGGCGACUUCCUGGCCUGUUCUUGACGCUGAGGCGCGAAAGCUAGGGUAGCAAACGGG
rnacentral:rRNA from 1 species